GAGGGAAUCACUCCAAGGGUAUUUUUUUUUUCUUGAGAUUUUGAAAGGCCCAGAAAAGGGAAGAAUUACAUGAAGACACAUGGAGAGGGGAGCCAAGGGGAGAGGUUCAGAAGAAACAAAGCCUACUGAUAUCUUGAUCUUGGGGUCUAACCUCCAGAACGGUGAUGAAAUGUCUGUUAUUUAAGCCAUUCGGUCUGUGGUAUUGGUGACAACAGUCUAAGCAGACUAAUGCAAGCCCGGACACAGACUUUAUGCAAUUUAAUUCUCUUUUCUCAGUCAUGAUUUUCUCCUCUG
rnacentral:lncRNA from 1 species